GUGCUAUCCAGGAAGGGCUAAUGAUUGGAAGGAAAACGUCAGCCCUUCUCAAGCAGCAAAAUAACAGCACCUUCUGUUUCCCCUGAAUCCACAUGAGUGUGGUGCUGUGAAAGAGGUCGCUGGCUGGUGUUGAGGGUGCCUCCGUGCCAGGGAGCACUCAAAGCUACAGACAUUCACCUGCGAAUGGUCAUGGACCUGACCGGCUGUUUUCUCUGCAUUUCUCCCCUGGCUAAAGAUGUGUUGCUGGGUAAAGUGAUUCUCAGACUUGACCUCCUGCUGCCCUGCUCCCACCCUGGAAUGGAGCAGGUGCCAGGUGGACAUGGCUGCAGGUGCUGUGGGAGGUGAGUCGUGCAGCCACAGGGGAAAACGUUUCAGGAUCCAGUGUCCGUCCUUCAAAGUUGCUUCUAACAAGGAAACCGCUGCCUAAUCACCGGCACCUGUCAAAUUGGAAUCUCAGCCAUCAGCCUGUAAGCUGGAUCUGGGAGGCUUUGUUUCUGGAGACUUCUGCUUUCUUUGGAAGGCAGGCUCAAACCUGAUCCUCUAUACAACGGUCCCGAGUUAAAUCUGGCCAGUCUGAAAAGCCAGCCAUGCUGGCGAGUGCAUGAAAAUCCUGCUUCAAAGGCAGAGAGCCGGGCU
rnacentral:lncRNA from 1 species